rnacentral:misc_RNA from 1 species
GAUGAAGAACGUAGUGAAAUGCGAUAAGUAAUGUGAAUUGCAGAAUUCAGUGAAUCAUCAAAUCUUUGAACGCACAUUGCGCCCGCUAGUAUUCUGGCGGGCAUGCCUGUUCGAGCGUCAUUUCAACCAUCAAGCCCUGUUUAGGCUUGUGUUGGGGCCCUGCGGCUGCCGCAGCCCCCUAAAUGCAGUGGCGGGCUCGUUGUCACUCCGAGCGCAGUAGCGUAUCUCGCUCUGGGCGUGGCGGCGGGUGCUAGCCGUGAAACACCCACUAAGGUUGACCUCGGAUCAGGUAGGAAUACCCGCUGAACUUAAGCAUAUCAAUAAGCGGAGGA